UACGGGGGGAGCAAGCGUUGUUCGGAUUUACUGGGCGUAAAGGGCGCGUAGGCGGUCGUGACAAGUCACUUGUGAAAUCUCCGGGCUUAACUCGGAACGGUCAAGUGAUACUGUCGGACUAGAGUACAGAAGGGGCAACUGGAAUUCUCGGUGUAGCGGUGAAAUGCGUAGAUAUCGAGAGGAACCCCUGCGGCGAAGGCGGGUUGCUGGGCUGAUACUGACGCUGAGGCGCGAAAGCCAGGGGAGCGAACGGG
rnacentral:rRNA from 1 species